AGUCUUCUUGCCUUCUUUGUUUCUCCCUUUCCGAAAAAAGUCCUCUUCAACUUAGAACAGAAUGGAAAAAAUCUUCUUGUCUUCUCGAGAGCUCGCAACCAUGGAAAAGGAUGAGCCAGCCUGGGUCCAACACAUAUGUAAGGAUCACCUCCAAGCUCUCCUCAGUCUCCUCUCGUACGUCGUGAUCCUCACUCACACCCCUCGUGGCUGGGACUGCGCCUAGUUUGGCUGCCCGCGUGCCUCAUCGAUCUCCCGGGCGGUCAACGGGUAGCAGGGCCCUGAUAUCAGCUGCAUGAGGGACGAUGCGACCUCGUAGAACUCGCAUCGCAGUUGCCGUCAGCUUCCAUUUAUGCGUUGAAGGAGUGGAUCUCGUUCCCCUUAGCUCCUGCAGAUUGUGGUUGUGGGGAUCUUGGGGGUGUUAUCCGUCCCCGAGCGUCGGGCCGGAGGCGUCGUUGCUAUCCCCAAGCGAGGUUGCCGAUGCAUCGUCUUCAUCCUCGAUAGCCGCAACCCGGCUUCAGCAUCGCAUUCUAGAACCUGCAGGUCCCCCCUCUCCCUUUUCCUUUUUCUGUCUUUGUACACUGAACCAAUAUACUUUAAGGUACUUCUUAACAGUGACAAAUGGUAUACUGGCUGCAAUUGAAAUGAGAUAGUUGUAGGUCUGGAUGCCCAACACAGCUUAAGGCAAAUUGGUUAAUUAGUUUAUGCCCCCUCCACUUUUUUCGCAGCUUGAGAAAGGAAUCACAGUUUCAGCCCCCUCUCUACGCCCAUAUAUUCAAAAAUUAAGGAAGUGAUUAGUGUAUUUGUGAUUAGCUAUAGUUUUAAAAUUUCCCAUAGACAAAUUAAUUUUAAUAAUUGAGUAGUAAAAUUACUUUUGAUUGCAUUGUACAUAUGAAAUAUAACGAUGUUCUGAUGCUCUCAACAUUGGGUUGACUAUAUAAUAAGCUUCAAAUAUUGGAUGACAUAGAAUGUCGUUCGAUGUUUGGUAUUACUGAACAAUUUCCAUCAAAUGUUCAUGCAUCUUUCCAGUACUUAUGCGGAGUAGUUGACCCCAUCCUAUCAUAUCUUGUUAUCAUAGGUAAGUCGGUUAUUAUUUUGAAGGUAGUCUGCAGUGUACUUUUUUUCAUGUACUUAUGAUUACAUAUAAUAAUGUAUGAAAGGCAGCAUGAUCCAUCUAGUUCACUGCGAUUGAGAUGGACUCUACCCCGACGACGUUCAAGCCAACACCCAUCUACUUCAUAUGUAUGCAAGUAGCGGUGCAUGCUCUUUUUAAUAAAUCUUUGUUUCUGUCUAACCAAUUCCUUUGGUUUGUACUAAUAAGUGUACUGUAUACAUGCACUUGGCAUGAGUGCAUGGACCACUCUUAUGUAGUAAAUUCCCAAGUAGAAAAUGGUUUAUGGUACAUUAGAGUAUAAAAUUGAUAAUGUAUAAUUAGUUGAGUGAAAUCAGUUCUCGCUCUCCAUGUUUGAUGCUGUGAAGCAGAAUAUGUGUAAAGCACUAUCGAGUUUUGCUAUCCUGGCCAUUUGGUCCUGCUGUACAGUGGAGAUUCCAAUAGUCAUACAGUCCAUGGAUGUUGCUAGUCAGUAGGUUAAUAGUGUAACCCCCCUUAAGAGUUAGUUCUUUUGUUUAUAGCAACUUCAUUCCUUUCUGUAUUAUAGUUUGAGCACCUCUUUAGAGAUUAAAUUCUUUGAUCUCAUUUAUUUGCUAUUUCUACCAAGUGUUUGUCCUCAUGUUUGUAAUCAUCCAUUGAAUACGAAGAGCAAAAAAGUGAAAAUCUGAGUUGGAGAGGUGCAAGUUUAUCAUAAGGAUGUGUUUAUUAUCGGGAAUGAUUAUGCGGAUCGGACAUGUUACGGAUGUACACCUUCAAUUGAGUACGCCUCCUUUUCACAUCUAUUGUUGUCAUAAACAAAAGCCUCUUUUUUUAAUUCUUUGAGACUAAAAUAAAUCUAAGUACAUAUGAGAAAGGAAGAAGCAAUAUCAAUAGAAUUUGCAUAAUUUAAUAUUAAGAUGAGCAGCAUAUGCAAAAUAAAUCAAUGGUGAGAACUCUGAUCUUUUAUUUUUUUUGAUGAAUUUUGUAGUGACAAUGAUGAUAGCAAAAAGUUUUACCCAUAGAGUGGUCCCUAUCUUCUCACCACUGAAAGAAUUUAACCAUGUAAAAGUAAUGUAAAAAGUUAUAUACAGAACUUUAAAAUUUCUUACAUAAUUUAAAUAACUUACUCUAGAAAAAGAACAUAAAUCUCGCUGAUGCUUGAAGUUUGCUGUCAUGGUGAAGACUAUUAAGCCGGGGUGGUGGUCAGCUGAGUGGACACAUGUCUUAGAAUAACAGAGGGUAAUAGUUCGAUCCUCUCCAAAUUUUCAGAACCGACCUGGUCCAAAACUUCAGUCGUAGUGAAAUUCUCUCGAAUUUAGAGAGGAAAAAACUAAAGGACUUGUUUGUCAAGUCUUUCAGGGAGGUGUCGUUAGUAGGGGAGGAGUUUCAGAGUUUAGCCAAGCUUGACGGUGUUCUGUAGACUAUGGUUUAUCAGUUGCAGGACCUAAUUUAUUCUUCCAUUCAAUUUUAUAUGUGCAUGGUGAGAACUUUGACAAUGAGACAGGCAGAAUCGCAUGCAGAAUGCUUUACCCUCAGUCCAAAAGGUUUAACGCUGUUAGUUCCUAGCAGUUUGCGUGAAACCACGAAGUGAGAUGCAUUUUAAUUAUGCAGUUUCUAUAGAAGUUUAUCUGCCUAUAUUAUGUCGUUCAUAAGCAGACAAUCAAGAUAUUUGAAAUGCAUUAGCCAUUUACUACUCCCUCCGUCCCAAAAUAUAAGAACGUUUUUCAAGCUAUGUUAGCUUGAAAAUGUUCUUAUAUUAUGGGACGGAGAGAGUAAUGAAUAGAGUAGGGAAACUCAAAGCUAAGGAUUAGGUCAUAGAUAAUAGAAAGGAGGAGACAACCACCAAUGUUUAAGAUCAAGAAAAUAGUGCUUAUUGUGUCACAAGCGAACACUGCUUGUUUUCUCCAUGUCAUCAUGCAGACCUUGAGCCAAAGAGGUCAAUUACAAGUUUGAUAUUUGUCAGGUGCAAAGGGAUUAGAAGAUGCUUAUGGGACAAUCGUGAAUGUUGACUGGAAAAUAGCAAUUUGAAAGUUUGAUUAAGAAAGGCACAGUAAUCAACAUCUUAGGUACAAAAUUCUAUUAUUGGCUGAGAUGUUCAUGGACACUAAUGGCCAGGAACCAAUAUUGCAUAUUCUCCUUUCAUGUACCAUCCAUGUGACAAGAAUCAACUUGAUGAUGCUUAUGUAUAUUUUGGCAUUGAAUAUCAACUUCUAUAUGUGUUGUUAAUAAUUGAUGAAUAGAACAAUUAUGGUAACAAAAAAGAGUUGAAGAGCAAAAACAAAAGGCCAUGCAUGCAAUGUCCAGGGUAGGCCUAGAUGGUCUGAGAGAAUUGAUCAAGUACCUACCUUGGCUUUGGCUUUGGCUUUGGCUUUGGACGUCGCUCAUGCUGCCUGUCAUUGUGUGAGCCACCUCGAAGGGGUCGGCCCGUGCCUUCCAGCCGGACUGGGAUCAGGUGACUUGCCUCUUGGCAGUCACGCUGUAACAUGCGGCUGUGAAUCCAACGUUCAUUAUAUUGAUCCAACGUACAGCAACGGUUGAAGGCAAAAGACGGCCCAGACAUCAACGAUUUAAGCCACGUGAUUGGAAUCCUGUCUGUUUUGUACUGGUUUGCAACACCUCUGCAUCCGUCUAAACCUACGAAUCUGCUAUUAAGUCAACCAUAAAUCAAUCUCUACAAAAAGAAAGAACAAAAACUCAGCCAGAUCAAGCACACAUCAAUCUUUAUAAAAUUCAAAACAACAAAAACUCAGCCUCUUGAUCUAUUGAUUUUUGUAGAGAUUAAGAGCAUCUACAGCCGGGCUCUCAUACCUGUCUCAAACGCCCGGGCAACCCGUCCGGUCACUGAGUGAUAAAAAAAGUCGACCCAACCGGGCCUCUCAAACCGUGGAAAAACACCCGGGCAGGCCGUCCGGUCACUGACCGGUCAAAGAAAAAUCGACUUCGGCUCCGAGCUCGCCUACGAGGAGGAGAUGGCCCUCCACAUUGCGCUGGAGCGGUCGAAGGUGGAGACCGGCGGCAGCUGAUACGUUUCCAACGUAUUUAUAAUUUUUUAUUGUUCCAUGCUAUUAUAUUAUCUGUUUUGGAUGUUUAAUGUGCUUUACUAAGCACUUUUAUAUUAUUUUUGGGACUAAUCUAUUAA